rnacentral:tRNA from 1 species
GCGCCCGUAGCUCAAUUGGAUAGAGCAUCUGACUACGGAUCAGAAGGUUAUGGGUUCGAAUCCUAUCGGGCGUACCA